rnacentral:tRNA from 1 species
GAGGGCAUAGCCCAGUGGUAGAGUGCUUGCCUUACAUGUGUGAGGUCCUGGGUUCAAGCCCCAGUGCCACCA